rfam:Stereum hirsutum FP-91666 SS1 unplaced genomic scaffold STEHIscaffold_2, whole genome shotgun sequence.
CUUCCGAUAGCUCAACGGUAGAGCAGUGCAUCAUUAUAACAUCGUACUGGACACAGGAUCUUCGACACAUGCACAACGAUGCUGGUUCGACUCCAGCUCGGAGGA